rnacentral:snoRNA from 1 species
CUUCUGGUGAUGAGACCUUUGUCCAGUUCUGCUACUGAAACUUGAGCGAUGACAGUUUGGAGAUCUGAAGAGG